UCCAAUUCCCACGAUUCACUUCCACUGUUUCCAUCUCUUCGAGAAGCACAGCCGACUCUUCGUACUUCGGUCACGUUCACGCUUCACAUAAUCAAGGUUCAAGACAUUAAUGUCCCCCCUCUUUAAGAAUAAAACCAGUUUUCAAUCCUUGAUCCUAAACCCUAGAUAUUUGAUAUCGACACAGUUGUAUCAAGGUUCAAGAGUAAAUUUCAAUGGAUGAUCUUCCUUUUCCAGCACUAAAUCCCAACCCCAAUGUAGCGCAAGAUCAACAGGCUCACAACCAAACAUAAGAUUGGCAUUUGGAUUCAUUUUACAAAGAAAAAAAUUGAUGGAGUUCAUAAGGCCGUUUGCAACUUUUGCGGGAAAAAAUUGAGUGGAAAAAGCAAUAACGGCACUACACACUUGCAUUAUCAUUACAAGCUUUGUGGAUCCAAACAUUCUAGAUUUUGAUAUAUACGAGUGAAAUUAAAAAUUGUUAUUUUUAUAUUAGUUUCUUAAUAAACAUGAAAUUGUCGUUAUUUUUUGUAUUUUGUGUCUAUGAGAAUGAAGCAUUAACUUUUAAGUA